CCAUUCUUGCCUCCUCCAGAAUCACCCUCUCUCAAGCCUCAAUCCCAGUCAUCCUGACUAUACCCCUGCACACACCUCUCAAACCCACAUCCUUUUCUCACAUCCCACCUUGCCAAGAAAACUUCCCAACUUCCUCAGAGCUCUGACUUUCCAUAUAUUGGCAGUAACCUCCUGCAAGUGCUGCUGAGCAGCUGGGCUGCCUUAACCUGGAGGGUGGGAGCAACUGGGAAGGCCAAGCUGGGAUGUGGGAGAAGCAGAGGGUUUCAGGCAGGGUUUGAAUUGCUGAUGCUGCUCAGGGCCACCAUCCCCUUCCUGGGAUCACAGCAGCGCUUUCUGUGGUACCUUUGAACAUGGAAGCUUGGAGAAAGCCAGCCUCUGCUAAUUCCUGCUCCUGCUACACACCUUGCAACAAGAGAGUCCAUGUGGAUACAAGGAGUGAAGAUUUGCAGCACCUUUGGUGUCCCUGGGCAAUGAAGACAUGGAUCCAUCUAUUUUGGGGGUGAACUGGAGACACUUUGCACAUUGAAAUCACAGAAGAGCAUCGCUCUAGCCCACAAGGUGGGGAGCAGUGAUUUCCCCCAUCCCUUGCAAACAUCAGGAGGAGGGAUGGGAAGGUUCUCACCUCGCUUGGGAUCAGGUCCUGACACACAGAUCGUUUAACACCUGCCUGCUCUCGGCACAGUUCAAUUUCCAAGGCAAUUUCUCGGAGUGCUGGAGGUGAAGGAUGGCCCCACCUUUGCUGCUGGGCCCUUGCUGAGCCAUAAAUCGAUGCUGAUUUGGAAUGGGGAAGGUCUCCAGGAGCAGCCUGGCAAGGUGGCAGCAGCUGUAAAUAUGAUGGAGGAAAAGGGGCCAUCUCCUGUCAAGCUGAUUGUCUCCAGAGGAAAGAUGCAGCACUUUUUAUUAGACUUUUUUAGGUAAUUGCAAAGAGGUGAGGCUAUCCUGCUGGUUCUUUGUUGUUACAAGCCUGUUUCUCACAGAAAUGGUCAGCAGUGCCACCUGAUAUUCCCUCAUAUGAUCACUACUCUAUCUUCAGUUUUGAACUGAGGAUAUUUGUCCUUAGACCCCCCUGUGAUAAGUGUAAAACACAGAUGGCUGCAUUUAAACACAUCCACUGGAAAACCCCAAAAUGCAACUCAACUGCAAUGUGCAGGCUUUGAAGAGAAAAUAAAGUGUGUAAGGUUUACUGCUAACA
rnacentral:lncRNA from 1 species